AACGCACCUUGCGCCCCUUGGUAUUCCGAGGGGCACACCCGUUUGAGUGUCGUGAAUUCUCAACCUCCUUGGUUUCUUCUGGAGAUCAAAGGAGGCUUGGACUUUGGAGGCCUUUGCUGGCAUCUGAAAAGGUGGCCAGCUCCUCUUGAAUGAAUUAGCGGGGUCCUCUUUGCCGAUCCUUGACAUGUGAUAAGAUGUUUCCGUGUCUCGGCUUCUGGCUCUGUUACUUUUGGGACCUGCUUCCAACCGUCUCGACGUCGAGACAAUGUUCGAGCCUGUUGCCCUUCUCGGGAAACGCUCUCGACCCCACGAACCCUUGACCUCAAAUCGGGUGAGACUACCCGCUGAACUUAA
rnacentral:rRNA from 1 species